GCUCAACCCCGAGCGGCCAUUGGAAACUGGGGAGCUUGAGUGCAGAAGAGGAGAGUGGAAUUCCACGUGUAGCGGUGAAAUGCGUAGAGAUGUGGAGGAACACCAGUGGCGAAGGCGACUCUCUGGUCUGUAACUGACGCUGAGGCGCGAAAGCGUGGGGAGCAAACAGGAUUAGAUACCCUGGUAGUCCACGCCGUAAACGAUGAGUGCUAGGUGUUAGGGGUUUCGAUGCCCGUAGUGCCGAAGUUAACACAUUAAGCACUCCGCCUGGGGAGUACGGCCGCAAGGCUGAAACUCAAAGGAAUUGACGGGGGCCCGCACAAGCAGUGGAGCAUGUGGUUUAAUUCGAAGCAACGCGAAGAACCUUACCAGGUCUUGACAUCCUUUGGCCGCCCAAGAGAUUGGGCUUCCCCUUCGGGGGCAAAGUGACAGGUGGUGCACGGUUGUCGUCAGCUCGUGUCGUGAGAUGUUGGGUUAAGUCCCGCAACGAGCGCAACCCUUGACCUUAGUUGCCAGCAUUGAGUUGGGCACUCUAAGGUGACUGCCGGUGACAAACCGGAGGAAGGUGGGGA
rnacentral:rRNA from 1 species